ensembl:processed_transcript 4921531C22Rik RIKEN cDNA 4921531C22 gene
GCCGAAAACAAAUUCCAGAUGGCAAAGCUUGUUGGGGACCUCAACGCAACUGACCUUCCUAGAAUCAUCGUCACCUCUGAAGAGACUUGCCACGGUCUGCACAGAUCCAGCACUGGGGAAUGAGGAAUUUGACACUGUAAUUUUUUUUUUUUCCUUUCGUGCCUUGAAAGAGACUCUUCCCACCAGCUUUUACUACCCACACACACCCUCCAUGCACUCGGAAGAUGAAGGCAGGAGGAAAAGGAGUUCAACCUUUGUUAUGCAUUUAGUUGGAGGCCAGCCUGGGGGUCUUGUGGGGCCCUGUAUCAAAAAGGUGAGGUGAGAACUAUUCUCUCAAAAGCAGAGUAUAAACUCUCAGCCUGUGUGCUGAUCCUGUCCCAGCCUUUUAAACUAAAUGAGUUAUAUAACUACUAUACAAACCCCACCCUACCCCAGCUGUCCUCUAAGCAAUAGUCUACCUAAGGAACUGUGCGCCUUGAAGCCAAAAAACAAAACAAACAAACAAACCCCACAGUGCCCUCACUUGCAAAGUGUGCUUG